rnacentral:lncRNA from 1 species
AUGUGCCUGUGUGAAUGGUAUCUUCACUGGAGGGGCGUGAGUCUGUUCACUCCCUGCACACAGGAGCAGAACAGGGAGACUCAGAACCUCCUUCUCCGGCAGGCGUUUUUAGAGCUGGCCGUUAGCCAGAGCUGGGUAGCCCACAAGGAAGUCCUGGGAGCCCCCGCCUGCCCUCUCGCUGGGCCUCUGCCAUUUUUCUUCACCACGAGGCUACGCAUCCUCUCUCUUCUCUCCUUUGACAAACCUACUUAUAGGCCCUGCAGCCCCACAUGGACGUACUCCUUCUCCUCCAGACUCGGCAGCUGGAUGGACUCCGCCUCCUGGAAGCCCUCUAGGGAUAGCAAAGUACCCGGCAAACAGCUCCCCAGGGAGAGGAACCACGUUCAGGAGGAUCUGGAUUCCUGUGGAGCCCAGAGAGAGGCCCAGUAAGAACCCCCUUGGAGCACUGGGAGGUGCCUUCCAGAAGGGAGAGAGGUCCCUAACUGCCAACCCUCAGCUGCUGCUGAAACUCCAAGCCCGGCCCUGUCAGCUUUGGUGAGAGAGUGGAGAGAGAAUUCUUGCAAAACUAACCUGUUUUCCCUGCACUUUGGCAGAUCUCAGAGGCCCCGGCCAUACUUGCCGGGAGGGGCUGGUGGCUCCCUGGUCACAGGGAAGGAGAGACAGGGUGUGGAGGAGGCUGGGUCUCUGCCCAACAGGCCCUGGGCUUCAAACCCUGGUGCCCUGGCUCCUGAGCCCCUACUGCCCUCCCCAGCUUGGAUGCUGCACCUUUAUUAAUAUUGCAAACCAACCCCACCCCUGCCAGCCCCCAACCAGCCACUGUUGCCCAUAGACCUGACCAUCAUCAUUAAACCCCUAAGCCCACAUGGGACCCCCGCCGCCCAGCCCUCCCCACCCCAGGCCUGUGCAGUCAGGUCUGCGGCCCCCACCGCGGCGGUUCUUUCCCUUUUUAUCUACUUCGAGCCUCGUUCCUCCCAAUUCCUCGGGAGGCAGGACACAA